rnacentral:rRNA from 1 species
GACUCCUACGGGAGGCAGCAGUGGGGAAUAUUGCACAAUGGGCGAAAGCCUGAUGCAGCGACGCCGCGUGAGGGAUGACGGCCUUCGGGUUGUAAACCUCUUUCAGCAGGGAAGAAGCGAAAGUGACGGUACCUGCAGAAGAAGCGCCGGCUAACUACGUGCCAGCAGCCGCGGUAAUACGUAGGGCGCAAGCGUUGUCCGGAAUUAUUGGGCGUAAAGAGCUCGUAGGCGGCUUGUCGCGUCRGAUGUGAAAGCCCGGGGCUUAACCCCGGGUCUGCAUUCGAUACGGGCAGGCUAGAGUUCGGUAGGGGAGAUCGGAAUUCCUGGUGUAGCGGUGAAAUGCGCAGAUAUCAGGAGGAACACCGGUGGCGAAGGCGGAUCUCUGGGCCGAUACUGACGCUGAGGAGCGAAAGCGUGGGGAGCGAACAGGAUUAGAUACCCUGGUAGUCCACGCCGUAAACGUUGGGAACUAGGUGUGGGCGACAUUCCACGUCSUCCGUGCCGCAGCUAACGCAUUAACUUCCCCGCCWGGGGAGUNCGGCCGCWAGGCUANAACUCAAAGGAAUUGACGGGGGCCCGCANAASCCANCGGAGCAUGYGGCAU